GUCUUCUUGCUAAUCAUAGGAAGUCUAACCUGCCCAGUGAAUGAUUUUUAACGGCCGCGGUAUUUUGACCGUGCAAAGGUAGCAUAAUCAUUAGUCUUUUAAUAGAAGGCUGGCAUGAAUGGUUUGACGAGGUGCUGACUGUCUCAUUUAAUUUUUAUUAGAACUUAACUUUUUAGUUAAAAGGCUAAAAUGUUUUUGGAAGACGAGAAGACCCUAUAGAGCUUUAUAAUAUAUUAAUUAGUCAUAUUCAGUUUAAUUUUUUUGGUUAUUUAAGCUAUUAUUUUGUUGGGGUGACAAAAAUAUAUAUUUAACUUUUUUAUUUAUUUUACAUUAAUUUAUGAAUCAUCGGAUCCAUUCUUAUUGAUUAUUAGACUAAGUUACCUUAGGGAUAACAGCGUAAUCUUCUUUCAGAGUUCAAAUUUACAAGAAGGCUUGCGACCUCGAUGUUGGAUUAAGAUUAUAAUUAGGUGCAGCCGCUUAAUUUAUGGGUCUGUUCGACCUUUAAUUUCUU
rnacentral:rRNA from 1 species